rnacentral:rRNA from 1 species
AUUGAACGCUGGCGGCAUGCUUUACACAUGCAAGUCGGACGAGUGGCGAACGGGUGAGUAACAUAUCGGAACGUCCCGAGUAAUGGGGGAUAACUAAUCGAAAGAUUGGCUAAUACCGCAUAGUAUUCGAGCGGCCGAUAUCUGAUUAGCUGGUGGGUGGGGUAAAGGCCUACCAAGGCGACGAUCAUUAGCGGGUCUGAGAGGAUGAUCCGCCACACGGGGACUGAGACACGGCCCAGACUCCUACGGGAGGCAGCAGUGGGGAAUUUUGGACAAUGGGCGCAAGCCUGAUGCACACCUGCCGCGUGUUUGAAGAAGGCUUUCGGGUUGUAAAGGACUUUUUUCAGGGAAGCGGUACCUGACGAAUAAGCACCGGCUAACUACGUGCCAGCAGCCGCGGUAAUAC